AUAAAUUGUGGCAAAAUCUUGAUGGUAUGGGGAGAUCAAUUCACCUUGUCUGUCUCCUGAGGAAUCUGUAUAAUCUUCAAGUAGCAACAGUCAGAACAGACCAGGGAACAACAGACUGGUUCAAGAGUGGGAAAGAAGUACGGCAGGGCUGUAUACUUUCAACCUCCCUAUUCAACUUGUAUGCAGAAAACAUCAUGUGAUGUGCGGGCUUGAUGAAUCCAAGGCUGGAGUUAAAACUGCUGGAAGAAACAUUAACAAUCUUAGAUAUGCAGAUGAUAGCAGUCUGAUGGCUGAAGGCAAGGAUGUGGAUGUGAGAGCUAGAUUAUAAGGAAGGCUGUGGUGUUGGAGGAAAAUUCCGAGAAUGCCUUGGACCACAGGAAAAUCGUAUCAGUCCAUACUCCAGGGAAUAAUGCCCGGCUGCUCACUGGAGGGAAGGAUAUUAGAGGCAAAGCUGAAGUACUUUGGUCACAUCAUGAGGAGACAGGAAAGCUUGGAGAAGGUCAUGAUGCUGGGGAAAUGGAAGGAAAAAGAGGGGCCGACCAAGGCGGACCUCCCAUUUUCUCCCCAGGCAGUCCAAAUUGCAAAAUAUCUUGGCUAGUCUGGAUUUUCUGGGAAUUGGAUCUUCUCCUUGUUUCACAGCUUCAACCAAGCAAGCUCUGCGGAUGAGGAAAGGCGGCUGAAAGGAAAAGAAGCUUUAGUUGUUUGCUUUGUAAGACAGGUGGGACUUAUCGAAAGUGAAAAAGAUCUGAGAUACAGGUGAGUCCUGCAAUGGGUAGGUAGCCAAUGCAAUACUGAUGUAGUUAUGCAAAGAUGGAAGUAUAUUCGAGUUCAAAGGGGAACUGGAGAUCAUACAACCAAUGCAAAUUCAAUGCAUGGUGCAAUUAUGGGAUACCUGUCACUUAUCCAACCAGCUUCUUCUUAACAUUUUCCACCAAAGGGAAGCUUCCAUAUCCUGUGGGAAUCUAUUCCAUUUUUUUAUCAUGUGAGAAGUGACUUGAGAACAUACUGCAAGUCACUUCUGGUGUGAGAGAAUUGGCUGUCUACAGAGAGGUAACACAUCUGGGGACACCUAGAUGUAUUACCAUCCUGUUGGGAGGCUUCUCUCGUGUCCCUGCAAGCUAGGGCUGAUGGACAGGAGCUCACCCCAUCUCACGGAUUCGAACUGCUAGCCUUCAGGUCAGCAACCCAACCUUUAGGUCAGCAGUUCAGCUGGCACAAGGGUUUAACCUAUCGCACCACUGUGGCUCCUUGUUAUUACAUAGUCAAAUAGUUCUUAUCAUUCGAUUAUCCUGAUAUUUAUCUGAAAUCUGCCAUAUCCAUCCACUGAUUGGAGCUAACAGCAAUAAUUUUCUUGAGCCUGGGCCCUAAGUGAUAUGUCCGCUAGCUCUUUGUCUUACCUUCAUUGCCUCUAAAUCUAUCUUCCUUCCCUUGUAGUCCUCCUAUACCCUGUUUCAAAGAUUCUCUUCCAAACAUCUUACAAAGAGCAGAUGUCAUCCUUUUGGGUAUUCUGGAUGUUCUAUUCCCUUCCAAUGAGAGUUCAGUAGGUUGUAACGGGUGAGGAUCUUUCCAUGGUGGUGUCCUACUUUUGAGAAAUAUCUCAGCAACUCACUGGCUCCUAAUACUUGUGUCCCAUAGCCAAACGACUAAGGCAUUUUCUAUUCUUCCUAAGUUUUAAUGCUGCCUCCAAAAUUUCACAGAUUAAAGCUGGGUUGAAUGUGGCGAAGCAUGGUCGAAGUGUGCUCACAAUGGAAAACAAUAUUAAUGAGGAACUACAGAGAAACUAGGACAGGCUGCAGUAGAUUGCUUUGCAUUAAGGUUUUUAUCUUUGUUGAGUUAGUUGAGGGCAAACUACUUCUGCACUAAAUGGAGAAGAGAUCAAAAUUGGAAAUUAAGAGCAAGAGACUGGCACAGCAAUAUUUUCAAAGCUGCUGAAAAAAAUGGGAUUAUAGGGUAUUAAUCAAAAUGGGAUGCUUGGAAGGUUUGCAUGUAAUGGCAUCUUUGUCAAACUUUUGCCUGUUUUAUAGGACAGCCUCAAAAUAUUAUGGGGCAUGAAAAAGCAAUGCAUUUCCUAAGGAACUGCGAACUGCUUUUUAUCGAGUUUAAAAGGAUAUAUAAAAACAGAGAGCUAGGUCUACUUGUAAUCCUUUCUUAACCAGUUUCUCGGCAGCCUGUUGCUUUCUCAGGUCCCUCCUCCGCUUCAGUUCUUAAGAUUUCAUCAGCCACUCCCUGUUGGUUAUGACUGGAUGCAAAAAAACAAACCAUGUAUCUCUGCACCAUGGGAUCAAGGCCAGUAAAAGAGCUCGUGAGCUCAUAAAUAGAUUCUCCAGAUGGUAUUUCCUUGUUGUUCUAGUGUUAUUACUGGAAAAGAAUGGAUAGUAAAAUUUCUUUCCUGGUGCUCUCUGUAUUUUCUCAACUUCUUCUGCCUAGGUUUCUCCCUCCUUCCUUCAAAGAGUUGAGUAUUAUUUGUAUUCCCAGGAGAACAUGUGGUUUUAAAAACUGGGGUGAACUUUGACUUGCUUCACAGAAGUUGUCCAGCUUUCCAGAUUCUAUAGCUGACGCUUCAUCUCCCAGAUUUUGGAAUGUAUUCAUGGAAGAUCCUUGACUUCAGAGCAACUCAACCAAUAUCUACAGAGGGAGAGGGAUACCAGAAAAGGGCUAUAACCAAACUGAUCGUUUGUUUGUGUUUAGACCUAGCACUACUAUUAAAUAACUAUAGGUAAAGGUAAAGGUUUUCCCCUUACAUUAAGUCUAAUCGUGUACGACUCAGGGGUUGGUGCUCAUCUCCAUUUCUAAGCCAAAGAGCCAGCGUUGUCUGAAGACACCUCUAAGGUCAUGUGGCCAGCAUGACUGCAUGGAGCAUUGUUACUUUCCUGCCGGAGCAGUACCUAUUGAUCUAUUCAUAUUUGCAUGUUUUUGAACUGCUAGGUUGGCAGAAGCUGGGGCUAACAGCGGGAGCUCAUCCUCCUCCCCAGAUUCAAACUGCCUACCUUUCAGUCAGCAAGUUCAGCAGCUCAGCAGUUUAACCCACUGCACUACCGGGGCUCCUAAAUAACUAUAGAUAAAGGUUUUCCUUUGACAUUAAGUUUAGUCAUGUCCAACUCUGGGGGUUGGUGCUCAUCUACAUUUCUAAGCCAAAGAGCCGGCAUUCUCCAUAAACCCUCCAGGGUCAUGUGGCCGGCAUGACUGCACAGAGCACCGUUACCUUCCCACAGGAGCGGUACCUAUUGAUUUAUAGUUAACAUUUUUACAUACAGAUCUAUACAAGGACCCGGGUUGUUGACUCAUUGCAAUCUCAUUUAAGCAACGGGAACAUACUGUCUUUUGAAGAAUCUCUUUCACACCUCAGCAUAAUUGUGCAAUGUUGCCACUUUGCUGAUGGUAAUUCUCUACCACUUCACUUCCUACCUGUGCUUGCCCUACCCAGUGCAUGCACACUGCAUUUUUCUUCUAUUUUGCUGCAACUGUACAGUUGCGCAGCUUUAACAUUCUUGUGAAACCAUCUUCUGCUUUGUAAUACUGGGUUGCAGCAGAAGGAAAUCAUCACACAAGGACAAAGAUGUUGGAUUCAUCAAUGCAUUUUUCUGAGCGAAAAGAGAUGAUCCUGUCAGGAUUCAGGUGCAAUGCAACUAUGGUUGUGCAUUGAUUGUGCUUUUCCUGCAUGGCAGGGGGUUGGACUUGAUAGCCCAUGUGGUCUCUUCCAACACUAUGAUUCUAUGGGGGAGCCACAACAUUGUGCGCAAAGCACUCGCAAGAGGUGCUUUUAUCCUACUGCAAUUUUGCUUUAGCAGCCUUGUGUGACAAAGUCCUUAAAUAAGUGUGCUUAUUGUGGUAUAUAAAUUCACAUAUUUAAUUGAAAACUUAUCAAACUUGGACUGAAACGGGAGGAGAAAAAUCAGACCAUAGUAAGGUUUGGGACUCAACCAUUCAGCUACCUUGGGCAUCUCCUGAACAAACCUUUCAAAUGUUUACAAGUGUUAUAAUUCACAUUUAUGAAGUUCACCAAACCAAACGAUAUUCAGACAUAUGUUGACAACUUGAAUUUUUUGUGCAGUUUAUAACUGAUCAGUGAACAAAGGUUUUUUCCCCAUUAAAUUGCUGGCUAGGGUCCAUGUCAUAGAAAUGCCCACAUUAAAGAAUUAGAGAACUUUGAUACCACUGUAACUUCCAUGGAAUUCUAGGAUUUCUCAUUUGAUGCAGGUUACUCUAGCAGACAUAAACAGCUCAAGAAACUACUUCCCAUAGGAUGGAUUUAUGGCAAUAAAAUGGUAACAUGGUGAUAUAAUAAUAAUAGUGCAAUGUGAAAGAGGCCUUGAUAUUGAUGAAAUUUGAAGGAUUGUAAAUACCCUCUCUUGAACCUUGUGAAAUUAUUGCAAGGAAGGCAGACAAUUUCUGGUAAAUUUCUAACAAAUCUUUACUGUUUUGACUC
rnacentral:lncRNA from 1 species